rnacentral:rRNA from 1 species
AUUGAACGCUGGCGGCAUGCCUUACACAUGCAGGUCGAACGGCAGCACGGGAGCAAUCCUGGUGGCGAGUGGCGAACGGGUGAGUAAAGUAUCGGAACGUGCUCAGUCGUGGGGGAUAACGUAGCGAAAGUUACGCUAAUACCGCAUACGAUCUAUGGAUGAAAGCGGGGGAUCGCAAGACCUCGCGCGAUUGGAGCGGCCGAUAUCAGAUUAGGUAGUUGGUGGGGUAAAGGCUCACCAAGCCGACGAUCUGUAGCUGGUCUGAGAGGACGACCAGCCACACUGGGACUGAGACACGGCCCAGACUCCUACGGGAGGCAGCAGUGGGGAAUUUUGGACAAUGGGCGAAAGCCUGAUCCAGCCAUGCCGCGUGCAGGAUGAAGGCCUUCGGGUUGUAAACUGCUUUUGUACGGAACGAAAAGGUUUGGCCUAAUAAGCUGAGCUCAUGACGGUACCGUAAGGAUAAGCACCGGCUAACUACGUGCCAGCAGCCGCAGUAA